rnacentral:tRNA from 1 species
UCCCUGGUGGCUGAGGGUGAAGCGUCUGCCUGCAAUGCAGGAGACCCAGGUUCAAUCCCUGGGUCGGGAA